rnacentral:rRNA from 1 species
UACAGAGGUCCCAAGCGUUGUUCGGAUUACUGGGCGUAAAGGGUGCGUAGGCGGUUGGGUAAGUCUGACGUGAAAUCUCCGGCAACCGGAAACUGCUGGAUACUAUCACUGAGGAAUGGAGGGGAGACUGGAAUACUGGUGUAGCAGUGAAAUGCGUAGAUAUCAAGUGGAACACCAGUGGCGAAGGCGAGCUACUGGACAAUUUCCUGACGCUGAGGCUCGAAGGCG